rnacentral:snoRNA from 1 species
AAUCCAUGGUUCGGGCACUUCUUGAGCAUAGACUUAAAUCGAUCCCAUGCUUCGCAUAGGGUUUCCCCAGAAGGUUGGACAAAGGUGGAGAUUGCAGUUUUUAAAUC